AUGGACAUACGGAGUUGGGCCAAGCUAUAUGAGGCCCAAAUUCUAACCGAUUGAUCGGACGAUUCGACUCGUCCGCUCAACUCGCCCGUUUCCGACGUCGGAGGCAGAAAAAAUACGAUCGAAACCCUACCGGAUCAUCUGAUCGAUCCCUCCGCCAUGGCGAACACCUCAACGGAAGGAAGCGCAAGCGAAUUCGGACGUCCAGAAGGAGGGACUGGCCGGCGUCGUUUCUUCAGCAGUGGAAGAAUCCCGCGGAAGACGAGGAUCGGAUCCUCUUCGGCGGCUCGGUUGAUAUGGAGGGGGGCGGGAGCCUCCCCUCCGCCGAUCACUCCUACGCGGUCCACGAUGUCCUCGGGACUAGCACAUAGGACGAGCUCAUCGAGUUCCUACUCGAUGCCGUCGCCUCCGACGCCGACCGCGGUGCCGCUCACUGCAAGGUGUUUGUUCACGGUCCUCGGCUUGUUUGGUAAGCUUGGACAUAGAAAAUUUCAACUUGCAUAUUCAGAACACAAUUUAUGUGGACCAGCGCACCUACUUUUUCUUGACUUCUUGUGGUGCAAAUUGGAAGACCUUUUCACGGGUCCUUAUUUCAUUAAAAAACCAAAUGAAGACUCACUUGCAAUGCCAAUUUCUGUGACUAUGAUAUCCAGUCAUAUUCAUAAGCUACAGAGCUUUUGCCACCUGUAAUCACAUACUGCUGUGAGAAGGAGACCUGAAGUGAACAUGUCUUCAGCGUAUUCAAAGGCUGGCCUAGAUACUAUAUGAGAUGGAUGAUAAAGCAUAAGAACCACAGUCAUGAAGUUGUAAUUAGGAUACUUACAAGGAGCAAAGCGCAUUUGCCAUCUUCUGACUCCUAGAAAGGGGUUAGUAAUUCAAUCAAAAAGUUCUGAGGAAGUUGCCAUCGGGGCAAUGGUGUAGCAGUUAGGCCCUUCAAAUGGUUAACUAUGCAUCUAAGGGUUGAAUCCUAGCUACGGCGCACUGCAGGAAUUUUUUUCCAGUGUGAUGACAACUCUAAGAACGGUGGCUGCUUGGAUGGGCCUCUGCAAGCGCUUUCCGAUUUAUCCUUGGCCGGUGGGAAAUUUCUGUGAGGCUGGGCCGAUGACUUCUAGGAUUAGUCGGUUGGUUCGAAAAGUUGGAUACUUAGAUUAUCCAAAAAAGAAAAAGUUCUGAGGAAGUUGUAUUUUUCUUUUCCAUCUUAUAUUUUUCUGAUCUGUCAGUUAUAGAUCAGUUCUUUGGGCCCAUUAUGCAAUUGUCAUUGCACUAUGCAUUGGUAUGGGCUUAACGCGAAACUUGAGUCGUUGGGGCAUAACCUUUUAUCUAAACCAUAAUGAAAAUAAAUUAGAAUUUCUUCAUGUUGUGUGGUUCAACUAAAAUAGCUAUCCUAGUGACGUUUGUGAAUGCUUUUACUAGCCUCUUCUAUUUCAAAUGCGUGUUUCACUUUGCAAAUGUUCUUCUAGAAUAGGAUUGCUUUAGCCGAUAAUUUGUUUUUUCAAUAGUUUUUAUAACACCAUCAGACUGUCAUUGAUAAAAAGGAGACUAUUCCAUCCUUGUGUUAAUAGGCAUGGAGAUGCUGGAGCUUUUAACACCAGAUCACAUCCUUUAGCACGAGAUCUACUGUUUAAAACAAACUUGAUAAAAAAAAGAAGAAUAUCAUCAAUCUAGGAAACAAUCAAUACAUAUAGUUUACAUAAACUCAACGACAAGUCUCAUAUCCUUCAACCGUUUACUUGUCUAUAGGAAAUAAGGGUAAGGCUAUUGCAUAUGAGCAAAAGCUGUCUCAAAUGAUUUGUUAUUUCUUUUUCGGACCAUUACCUUGUUGGAUGUAGAAAGAUUAGGUGAGUGUAAUACUCUUAAAGCCCUCAAGCAUGUUUUAAGCUCGAGUGGAACAGCAAAACUAUAUCCAAGCUUAGGCUUCUCUGUAAGAUCUAACAUGUAGACAGCAAUAUGCCAUGAAUCUCAUGGAGGAGAGGACCAUGAGAAUGAUAUGAGGUGUAUUACUAACUACACAGAGAAAAGAAAUUAUAAUAACAUUAUCAUUUCCUUUGUUCUAGUCCAAAGCUCCUUCAGCUCAGAUGGAUUUAUCUUGAUCCUCUUUGUAACAUGCUCAACCAUACAACUAAUGGACCCACAAAUGCGACAUCCAUAGGAAUGAUAUCACACUUAAAAACUGCAAAAGGACCAAAUAGCUUCGGGUUGUCACUAACUUAAUGUUUAAAUACAGAUAUAAUUAUGGGGACUAUUUUAGAUAUGCAACUUUUUGUCAAUGUAUUGAUGCAUAGAAAAAGCUUUUGAAAAUUUAGAAGCUUAGUAUGUUAUGACCUCCAUGCUACUGAAAUCCAUGACAUAAAUAUGAUUGCUCUGAGUUUCUGUACCACCAAAUGCAUUAUAAAUUUCAGACAUGUGCCACUUUACGACCAUAUGACAGAAAAGCCACAUGUUAGUAUGACCCGUGUGCCAAAAGAUGAAUCAACAUAUCUUUUCUACCGAAGAUUUAUCAGGGAAUGAGUAGCUAUGACUCCCUAGAACUCCUAAUGGAAUCUCUUUUACUUGAAUGAUUUAUGUAACAACUAACCACUCUCGGUUUGCAGGAUUCAUUGUUCAACUAGAGUGUCCCACACUGCUCAUCAACAUGCCAGUCAUCUCAUCAUCAUGCUCUACUUGUUCCAGGUAAACAGAUAAGAUCUCAUAUUUUGGUUCAGUUUUGAUGAUACUUUAUUGUGAGAUCUAUGAUGUUGUAGAAUUAAUGUGUAUGAAAAUUUACUUGCGUGGUUUCACUCCUUUGAAAUUAUGGGUAAAAGAUCCAUUGAAGCACCAAAAGUACAUGCGUUCAUUUAUUUACUCCCUCAAUGAAUGAAAAGGGGAAUGGCAUAAUUAUUCAUGUGAGCAUGGGCCACAAGUAAUGAUGAUUCAAAAUGUCGAUUCACUCACUUCAAUAGCUCUCAAUGCUAAUAAUUCAACAAACCAUUUAUGGCCCCUAAGAAAGAUGCGGCACACUCGGCUCUACAUGUUGAAGAAAUAGGUAGAAUGAAAUCAUUAGCCGAUGUCACAUGUUGAAGUCUUUGUAAGAAUUGGUGAUGGAAGGUACUUAAAAUAAUGGCACUAGAAGUAGGUAAAACAUUAAGUACUUGAUCUCAUGUAAAGUUGUCUAUCUAAUCAUAGGUGUUUAUAUAUAUCCUAAGCAAAUUCUAG